UCUGGAGAAAGACAGAGGUUGCACAACUGAGCAUCAGCAUCCUCCCAGCACAACGUGCGGCCACCCCUCAGAGCCUGGACCGAGCCACGGUCAAUGCCCCACCUGCAGAGCUUCUCCUCCUUUGGUGCCACCACAGACAUGGCUUUGCGGAGCCCCAGCCUGGAGAAGCCCGUGUAGAAGCCCAGCUUCCGGUUCCAGUUGGUCACUCGGAGGUUGUUAUCGACCAGCGUCUCGCAGGCGUGGCUGUUCUCCAGCACCGUGUGGAAGAAGGACUGUACAGCAAAGGGACAGCAGACACAGCGGGGAUGGAGGGUGGUUAAUGGAGCCCCCUACCCCUCACUCACAGAAGAACAGGAAGGCCUGGAUGGCUCCAGUUCCCAGCACAGGGCAGCCCAUAGCAGAUCAGCUCACUCCUGCACAUCACUCCUUAUCCAGCCCAGAAGUUCUGGACCCAGUGCACAGGGCUGGAUACAAACACAGCCCCCUGGCAAAUCUGCUCCUCUCCCCCCUUUCCUACCAGCAGUCACAAAGCUGCAAGAGCAGAACCUGCAAUGCCCUUCCCAGUACCCGGGGCAAGGAUGGAGCGGGGCACUGUUCAGAACAAUGGAAAGAAGGUCCCACCAAAGGCAGCACCACGUUUUGGUUUGUUUCUUGUGGUGAAGGAACAAGGCUGAGAGAAGAUCUCACAGCGCAGGCAGCUCUGAGCUCCCCUCCUGCAGCCCAGCAGCACCCACCUCGGCCGGCAGCAGCGUGUAGGUGUAGAACUGGCGCAGCUGGGACACCAGCUGGUCGUCGGCAUAGACCACGUACUGCACGAAGCUGCGCGUCAGCGAGAACCAGUCGGAGCCGCCGUCCACCACGAUGCCCUCGGGGAUGUGGCGCUCACCCAACCUCCACAUGUGUGUGUCACACUCCAGGAAGAGGCGGUCCAGACCCUGUUUUCUAAUGAACCUGGGCACAGGGACAAGCACGAGGCGUUAGGGACGUCACCUGCUUUGCCAGGACACAGAGCGGGUCUCUUUUAGCGGACGGCCCAUUUUGAACACUCCCAAUAAAGCUGGCCGCUCAGCUCUGGCAGAUACAGCCAGAACCAGCCCCUGCC